rnacentral:rRNA from 1 species
UACGGAGGUGGCAAGCGUUGCUCGGAAUCACUGGGCGUAAAGGGCGCGUAGGCGGGGAGGUAAGUCGGGUGUGAAAUCCCUCGGCCCAACCGAGGAACUGCGCCCGAGACUGCUUCUCUUGAGUCCCGGAGAGGAAGAUGGAAUUCCCGGUGUAGCGGUGAAAUGUGUAGAGAUCGGGAGGAACACCCGGUGGCGAAGGCGGUC